GAUGAACGCUGGCGGCGUGCCUAAUACAUGCAAGUCGAGCGAACGGACGAGAAGCUUGCUUCUCUGAUGUUAGCGGCGGACGGGUGAGUAACACGUGGAUAACCUACCUAUAAGACUGGGAUAACUUCGGGAAACCGGAGCUAAUACCGGAUAAUAUUUUGAACCGCAUGGUUCAAAAGUGAAAGACGGUCUUGCUGUCACUUAUAGAUGGAUCCGCGCUGCAUUAGCUAGUUGGUAAGGUAACGGCUUACCAAGGCAACGAUGCAUAGCCGACCUGAGAGGGUGAUCGGCCACACUGGAACUGAGACACGGUCCAGACUCCUACGGGAGGCAGCAGUAGGGAAUCUUCCGCAAUGGGCGAAAGCCUGACGGAGCAACGCCGCGUGAGUGAUGAAGGUCUUCGGAUCGUAAAACUCUGUUAUUAGGGAAGAACAUAUGUGUAAGUAACUGUGCACAUCUUGACGGUACCUAAUCAGAAAGCCACGGCUAACUACGUGCCAGCAGCCGCGGUAAUACGUAGGUGGCAAGCGUUAUCCGGAAUUAUUGGGCGUAAAGCGCGCGUAGGCGGUUUUUUAAGUCUGAUGUGAAAGCCCACGGCUCAACCGUGGAGGGUCAUUGGAAACUGGAAAACUUGAGUGCAGAAGAGGAAAGUGGAAUUCCAUGUGUAGCGGUGAAAUGCGCAGAGAUAUGGAGGAACACCAGUGGCGAAGGCGACUUUCUGGUCUGUAACUGACGCUGAUGUGCGAAAGCGUGGGGAUCAAACAGGAUUAGAUACCCUGGUAGUCCACGCCGUAAUCGAUGAGUGCUAAGUGUUAGGGGGUUUCCGCCCCUUAGUGCUGCAGCUAACGCAUUAAGCACUCCGCCUGGGGAGUACGACCGCAAGGUUGAAACUCAAAGGAAUUGACGGGGACCCGCACAAGCGGUGGGGCAUGUGGUUUAAUUCGAAGCAACGCGAAGAACCUUACCAAAUCUUGACAUCCUUUGACAACUCUAGAGAUAGAGCCUUCCCCUUCGGGGGACAAAGUGACAGGUGGUGCAUGGUUGUCGUCAGCUCGUGUCGUGAGAUGUUGGGUUAAGUCCCGCAACGAGCGCAACCCUUAAGCUUAGUUGCCAUCAUUAAGUUGGGCACUCUAAGUUGACUGCCGGUGACAAACCGGAGGAAGGUGGGGAUGACGUCAAAUCAUCAUGCCCCUUAUGAUUUGGGCUACACACGUGCUACAAUGGACAAUACAAAGGGCAGCGAAACCGCGAGGUCAAGCAAAUCCCAUAAAGUUGUUCUCAGUUCGGAUUGUAGUCUGCAACUCGACUACAUGAAGCUGGAAUCGCUAGUAAUCGUAGAUCAGCAUGCUACGGUGAAUACGUUCCCGGGUCU
rnacentral:rRNA from 1 species